UAGUCUUGAUCCAUGCGAACUCCACAGACACCCUCGGAGAUACCUAUAGAGCAUCUUUAUAGUCACCCAAUUACAUUAUGACGUUUGAUACACACAAGGCAUUCCUCCGGUGCCAGUGAGUUACAUGAUCUCAUGGUCAUAGGAAUAGAUACAUUGACAUGCAUAAAGCAAUAGCACUAGAGUGGAUACGUUCAAACGCUAUGCUUAAGGUUUGGUUCUUGUCCAUCACAUCAUUCUCCUAAUGAUGUGAUCCCGUUAUCAAAUGAAAACUCAUGUCUAUGGCUAGGAAAACUUAGCCAUAUCUUAUUAACGAGCUAUGUCUAUGUUAUGACAUUUGAUUUACAUUGUGACGUUUGACACACACAUGUUUAUGUAUCUACACAU
rnacentral:lncRNA from 1 species